rnacentral:lncRNA from 1 species
GCAUUAGUGCAUUAUUAACAAGAAGGUGGAGAUCACAACCUUCUCCAAUGACUCAUUAAGCUUCCAUAUAAUUUGCAUAUAUUAAUGUCCAUUAAAAGGGGCACAGUUCAACUGUUCUAAACCUUUAAUUCUUGUUUAUGCCGACAUUAUGUUUUUUCUUGUAUUUCUUUUUUUAUAAAGUAUUUUUCUCUUACGAUAUGAUGUUUUAAGCGUAAUUCUUUAAUCUUUAAGUGUUAUCGCUAAUUCUACCCAAAAAAUGUGUUAAGACCAUCAUUAUUGGAAACAUCUUAGAAUUGAAA